UAUAUGACUCUCGGCAACGGAUAUCUCGGCUCUCGCAUCGAUGAAGAACGUAGCGAAAUGCGAUACUUGGUGUGAAUUGCAGAAUCCUGUGAACCAUCGAGUCUUUGAACGCAAGUUGCGCCCGAGGUCUUUCGGUUGAGGGCACGCCUGCCUGGGCGUCACGC
rnacentral:rRNA from 1 species